CAGCACCUCAAGUGGUCAGGAUGAUUAUUGGGCCCAAAGCAUCCGUAGCCGGCGCUGUAAGUUUCCGGUUAAAUCUGUACGCUCAACGUACAGGCUGCCGGGAAUACUGCAGCGCUAGGGAGUGGGAGAGGUAGACGGUACUCGGUAGGAAGGGGUAAAAUCCUUUGAUCUAUUGAUGACCACCUGUGGCGAAGGCGGUCUACCAGAACACGUCCGACGGUGAGGGAUGAAAGCUGGGGGAGCAAACCGGAUUAGAUACCCGAGUAGUCC
rnacentral:rRNA from 1 species